GGGAAGAUGGCGGACGGGAAGGCGGGAGAGGAGAAGCCUGAGAAGCCGCAGCGAGCCGGAGCCGCCGGAGGACCUGAAGAAGAAGCAGAAAAACCUGUGAAAACUAAGACUGUUUCUUCCAGUAAUGGAGGGGAAAGUUCCAGUCGCAGCGCUGAAAAGCGAUCAGCUGAAGACGAAGCUGCAGACCUCCCAACAAAGCCUACAAAGAUGUCCAAGUUUGGAUUUGCCAUAGGUAGUCAGACGGCAAGGAAAGCAUCCGCCAUCUCCAUUAGACUCGGAGCAAGUAAGCCUAAGGAAACAGUUCCAACUCUUGCUCCAAAAACUCUUUCGGUGGCAGCAGCUUUCAAUGAAGACGAAGACAGUGAGCCAAAAGAGAUGCCUCCAGAAGCAAAGAUGAGGAUGAAGAAUAUUGGAAGGGACACACCAACAUCAGCCGGACCAAACUCCUUUAAUAAAGGAAAGCAUGGCUUUUCUGAUAACCAGAAGCUGUGGGAGCGAAAUAUAAAAUCUCAUCUUGGAAACGUCCAUGACCAAGACAAUUAAGUGAAGAGUUCUGAGAUUGGGGUGUGGGUGGGUGCAGUUAGAAGGAGCAGUCUCCUUUUUGUAAAGAAUGGUGUAAGACUAGCUUUGGAGCCGUUUUUCUUUCUUCUUUUUUUCUUUUCCUUUUUUCUUUUUUUAAAAGAUUGAGUGGUACACUAAUAAAUGAGAGUUUGCAAUUAGA